AUGAUUUUUGGCAUAUUUGACAGAUUUUUCAUAUUAAUCCUUGAAUCGGGGCGUUUUAAAUGACUUAUUAAGUUAAAAUCUUCCACAUUAACGAAUUGAAUCAAUUGAAAUAGACACUUAAGUGUUUAGAAAAUGUCUAAAAUCUUUCGUUUGAUGAACUUGAAAAUUGAGGCCGAAAUCGGCCCUUACCGGACCUACUCAUUUGUGAAUUUUUGUAUUUCAAACCAGUAAAAGAUUUAUAUUCGUAUUCUAAUUCUUCUUCAAUAAUUAUUUUACUUUUU
rnacentral:lncRNA from 1 species